UGUGCGUAAUUUAAAAAAAAUAUCAAGCUGUGACCUUGACAAUAGAAAACAUUCCCUCGCACACC
rnacentral:tRNA from 1 species